CUCUUUUAUUUAAUGGGUUUUUGCUUUCCUG
rnacentral:piRNA from 1 species